rnacentral:rRNA from 1 species
GAUGAACGCUAGCGACAGGCUUAACACAUGCAAGUCGAGGGGCAGCAUGGUCUUAUCUUGCUACGGCCGAUGGCGACCGGCGCACGGGUGAGUAACACGUAUCCAACCUGCCGUCUACGCUUGGACAGCCUUCUGAAAGGAAGAUUAAGACAAGAUGGCAUCAUGAGUCCGCAUGUUCAUAUGAUUAAAGGUAUUCCGGUAGACGAGGGGGAUGCGUUCCAUUAGAUAGUAGGCGGGGUAACGGCCCACCUAGUCUUCGAUGGCUAGGGGUUCUGAGAGGCAGCCCCCCCACAUUGGAACUGCGACCCGGACCACACUCCGACGGGAGGCAGCAGUGUGGUAUGUUGGUCGAUGAGCGCAGGCCUGACCCAGCCAAGUAGCGUGAAGGAUGACUGCCCUCUGAGUUGUAAACUUCUUUUAAAAAGGAAUAAUGUCGGGUAUGUAGACCCGUUUGCCGGUACUUUAUCAAUAAGGAUCGGCUAACUCCGUG